UACGGAGGGUGCGAGCGUUGUCCGGAAUCACUGGGCGUAAAGGGCGCGUAGGCGGCGCGGAAAGUCAACGGUGAAAGCUUGGGGCUCAACUGGGGAAUUGCACGGGAAACUGCGAGGCUUGAGUUCGGGAGAGGGAAGCGGAAUUCCGGGUGUAGCGGUGAAAUGCGUAGAUAUCCGGAGGAACACCGGUGGCGAAGGCGGCUUCCUGGACCGACACUGACGCUGAGGCGCGAAAGCUAGGGGAGCAAACGGG
rnacentral:rRNA from 1 species